GAUGAACGCUAGCGGCAGGCCUAAUACAUGCAAGCCGAACGGCAAGUUGAGUAGCAAUACUUGACCUAGAGUGGCGUAAGGGUGCGUAACACGUAUGCAAUCUACCCGCAACAGGAGGAUAGCUCUCCGAAAGGGGAAUUAAGCCUCCAUGGGAUCAUGGGGUGGCAUCACUCCAUGAUUAAACUACCAGGGGUUGUGGAUGAGCAUGCGCAUGAUUAGUUAGUUGGCGGGGUAACGG
rnacentral:rRNA from 1 species